GGGCCCUUAGCUCAGUUGGUUAGAGCAGUCGACUCAUAAUCGAUUGGUCGUUGGUUCAAGUCCAACAGGGCCCACCA
rnacentral:tRNA from 1 species